rnacentral:tRNA from 1 species
UGGAAGAUUGGCAGAGUGGUCGAAUGCGCAUCCUUGGAAAGGGUGUGUACCUCACGGUACCGCGGGUUCGAAUCCCGUGUCUUCCGA